rnacentral:rRNA from 1 species
UUGAAAGGGAAACGAUUGAAGUCAGUCGUACCUAUGGGUAAUCAGCCUUUUGGGUGUGAUUUUGUGGAGCGUGAGGAGUUAAACGCCUUCAUGCCUGCAUAUUCGUGCACUUUGGGUGUACUUGCCCGUGUGUAAGUUAACAUCAAUUUUGGUGGUCAUAAAAUGGCUGGAGGAAUGUAGCUUCGAUCUUGUAUUGAAGUGUUAUAGCCUUCGGUAGAUGUGACGAUCGGGAUUGAGGAUUGCAACGGAUACAAUCGAA